GACGCAGACACUUUGGGAAGCUGAUGUGGUUUUUACCCCCAAAACUUGACAAGAGAAGUGAAAGAGAAAACACUAUUUUCACGAUGACUGGGAGGAAGAGUUCUUUUUCACGACAGUGAAAGAUAAAUUUGUGUGUCCUAUAUGCGGGGCGACUAUUACGUCUGCAAAGCGGCACAAUGUGGACAGACGCUACGUUAGCCGCUACAAAGCUUCCAUGCUAACUAGCCACCUGGUAGCGCACAUAGACUGUAUGCGCACUACGGACACGAAAAGCCGGGACUUAAAGGCAGCUUUGACAUCUACUACGCGGCGAAAAGUUUCUUCGUGGAGAAAAAUGUACCAUUAGAAAAGCUUGUUUCAGUUACGAUGGACGGGGCUCCUCCAUGACGGGUGGCAUGCAGGCUUCAUUGUACGAUGCAGAGGUGAUCCAGACUUCCUAACAUUCCUACAUUACCACUGCAUCAUUCACCAGCAGGACAUAUGUAUGUACAAAAAUGACUGGAUUUGAUCAUGUGAUGACUCCUGUCGUGAAGAUCAUAAAUGGCUCCAAAGCCAAACAACCAGGACAUUGAAGGUGCUGCUGGAGGAGCUGUCAGCUGAAUAUAGUGACCUGUUACUACACACAGAAACCCCAUGGAUCAGCAGGGGACCAGUUUUGCAGCGUUUUUUGUCACUUUUGGCCGAAAUCAAAGAGUUCAUGCAAUCCAAAGGGGAGGACAUCUCGCUGCUUGAGGACACUGAGUGGAUUCUUGACCUGGCAUUUUUAACGGACAUCACUGGGAAACUGAACCAUCUGAACUGUGAGCUGCAAGGUAAAGAAAGCUGAUUCCUGCCUGCUGAGUUGCCUGGGUUCCUUCAUCUGCUGGUUUCCACCCAACCAUGGAUUCUGUCUUGUUCUCCAGAGGGUCUCCACCUGUCGCCAGCUUAACCUGGGAACAUCAACGUACACCUGGAAAGAGGACUUUCUCUGGAAACAUCUGCUACGACUGGGUUCUACUGAUACCAACUUACCAAGCACAUGGUGAACACUGGGAGGGAGAGUUCUGGAUGAAGUCAAACCAAAAGGACUGUUCUUAGCUCAUCAGUUAAGUCUCCAAGCCCUAGUAUCACCAGACUCUUUGUAUUGUUAAUACGUCGAAUUAAAUAAUCAGCUUUCCGUAUUUAACUUAAUGUAUUUUUUGCUCUGCAUAGGAUAGUUUUAGUCUGGGGUUUCAGCUCAUAAUUACUGGUAGUCUAGGCUGGGUUAGUUUUGUAUUUUCAGUUGUUUCCCUACCUUGGUGUUACCAUACGUGGGUUAACCUUAGUUUCAGUUUCCAUGUUCAUGUAGUUAUUCCUCCGUACCACUAGAUGGGUUUUGUUUUUUAGUUCUAGUAGUAGUUUACUUCUUCUCUUUCUAAGAUUCUAGUUCCGGUUCCUGUAUGGUUUCUUGUUGUGAAUAAAAACAUUUUUAAAAUGUU